rnacentral:rRNA from 1 species
GCUAUCUGCAGUCGAGGGGCAGCGCAGUGUAGCAAUACAUGGGCGGCGACCGGCAAACGGGUGCGGAACACGUACGCAACCUUCCUUCAUGUGGAGCAUAGCUUUCGGAAACGAAAAUUAAUACUCCGUAAUAAUAUCGGGUGGCAUCACCUGAUAUUUAUAGAUCCGUCGCUUGAAGAUGGGCGUGCGCCUGAUUAGGUAGUUGGCGGGGUAAUGGCCCACCAAGCCUACGAUCAGUAACUGGUGUGAGAGCACGACCAGUCACACGGGCACUGAGACACGGGCCCGACUCCUACGGGAGGCAGCAGUAAGGAAUAUUGGUCAAUGGACGCAAGUCUGAACCAGCCAUGCCGCGUGGAGGAUGAAGGUCCUCUGGAUUGUAAACUUCUUUUAUCGGAGAAGAAACCCUCAAAUUCUUUUGGGGUUGACGGUACCCGAUGAAUAAGCACCGGCUAACUCCGUGCCAGCAGCCGCGGUAAUACGGAGGGUGCAAGCGUUAUCCGGAUUCACUGGGUUUAAAGGGUGCGUAGGUGGGUUGGUAAGUCAGUGGUGAAAUCUCCGGGCUUAACUCGGAAACUGCCGUUGAUACUAUCAAUCUUGAAUGUUGUGGAGGUAAGCGGAAUAUGUCAUGUAGCGGUGAAAUGCUUAGAUAUGACAUAGAACACCGAUAGCGAAGGCAGCUUGCUACACAAUAAUUGACACUGAGGCACGAAAGCGUGGGGAUCAAACAGGAUUAGAUACCCUGGUAGUCCACGCCCUAAACGAUGGAUACUCGACAUACGCGAUACACAGUGUGUGUCUGAGCGAAAGCAUUAAGUAUCCCACCUGGGAAGUACGACCGCAAGGUUGA